rnacentral:lncRNA from 1 species
UUUUGAAUAUGCAGAUUUUUUUUAGAUCUGAGACCUAUUUUGGAAGACUUCUGGGAUAAUUCUUGGAUGACUCUCGGAAGACUUCCCACGAAGUCUUCAGAAAGUCUUCCAAAGUCUUCUGCCCAAAGUGGUAUAAAGAGAUGGUGUGAAGUGGAGUCCAAGCUUAUCUAUGUUGAGGAAUAAUAUCUAGCUGUGUAAUAAUUUUGUUUAUGGUUUUUUAUGAUUUGUAUGUGUAAUAUUUUAGUUGUGAAUUAUUUUGUAAACUUUAAGAAAUGUUAAUCAAAAG